UGGAUCCAGACUUUGAUCCUGGCUCAGGAUGAACGCUAGCUACAGGCUUAACACAUGCAAGUCGAGGGGAAACGAUAUUGGAAGCUUGCUUCCGAUAGGCGUCGACCGGCGCACGGGUGAGUAACGCGUAUCCAACCUGCCCAUCACUUGGGGAUAACCUUGCGAAAGUAAGACUAAUACCCAAUGACGUCUCUAGAAGACAUCUGAAAGAGAUUAAAGAUUUAUCGGUGAUGGAUGGGGAUGCGUCUGAUUAGCUUGUUGGCGGGGUAACGGCCCACCAAGGCAACGAUCAGUAGGGGUUCUGAGAGGAAGGUCCCCCACAUUGGAACUGAGACACGGUCCAAACUCCUACGGGAGGCAGCAGUGAGGAAUAUUGGUCAAUGGACGAGAGUCUGAACCAGCCAAGUAGCGUGCAGGAUGACGGCCCUAUGGGUUGUAAACUGCUUUUAUAAGGGAAUAAAGUGAGUCUCGUGAGACUUUUUGCAUGUACCUUAUGAAUAAGGACCGGCUAAUUCCGUGCCAGCAGCCGCGGUAAUACGGAAGGUCCGGGCGUUAUCCGGAUUUAUUGGGUUUAAAGGGAGCGUAGGCCGGAGAUUAAGCGUGUUGUGAAAUGUAGACGCUCAACGUCUGCACUGCAGCGCGAACUGGUUUCCUUGAGUACGCACAAAGUGGGCGGAAUUCGUGGUGUAGCGGUGAAAUGCUUAGAUAUCACGAAGAACUCCGAUUGCGAAGGCAGCUCACUGGAGCGCAACUGACGCUGAAGCUCGAAAGUGCGGGUAUCGAACAGGAUUAGAUACCCUGGUAGUCCGCACGGUAAACGAUGGAUGCCCGCUGUUGGUCUGAAUAGGUCAGCGGCCAAGCGAAAGCAUUAAGCAUCCCACCUGGGGAGUACGCCGGCAACGGUGCAACUCAAAUGAAUUGACGGA
rnacentral:rRNA from 1 species